GACGAACGCUGGCGGCGUGCUUAACACAUGCAAGUCGAACGGACAGGCCCUGCUUUUGUGGGGUGCUCGAGUGGCGAACGGGUGAGUAACACGUGAGUAACCUGCCCUUGACUUUGGGAUAACUUCAGGAAACUGGGGCUAAUACCGGAUAGGAGCUACUGCUGCAUGGUGUUGGUUGGAAAGUUUCGGCGGUUGUGGAUGGACUCGCGGCUUAUCAGCUUGUUGGGGGGGUAGUGGCUUACCAAGGCUUUGACGGGUAGCCGGCCUGAGAGGGUGACCGGCCACAUUGGGACUGAGAUACGGCCCAGACUCCUACGGGAGGCAGCAGUGGGGAAUAUUGCACAAUGGGCGGAAGCCUGAUGCAGCAACGCCGCGUGCGGGAUGACGGCCUUCGGGUUGUAAACCGCUUUCGCCUGUGACGAAGCGUGAGUGACGGUAAUGGGUAAAGAAGCACCGGCUAACUACGUG
rnacentral:rRNA from 1 species